ACAGAAAAUGUUUUGGUUUAGUCCGAUUGGUUUAAACUGACUCAACUCCACAAUCUGCUUCACUGCAUGUUUCCUCCUAACUGGAAAUGCAUGCACAACAAGCCAGUCUCUCUCUGGACUACAUUCCAUAUGAAGUCAGGUACCUGGAACCAUCUCUUUAUUUCGUUAGUUGCGUGGAUACAAGGUCCAGCAUGUCAACAGUGACAAGUGAUUUAGAGGCUCUAGCAGAACCUCUGAAAGAGCAAGCAUGACACAAUUCUUGUGAAAGUUGCUCACCUUAGGGAGCACUACCUGAGCAUAAACACGCAUUCUGUCUUCCUGGGGGGCCUUGUCAAACUCUGCUGAUACAUCCGGUAUAGAAAAGCACUUGUUGAUAUUAGCCUCCAAAAUUCCACCCUUAUCAGAAAAUAGCUCUUUAAGAUGGGAACAGCAAGAUCCAUCGAGAGAUGACCCAUCCCAGCUCUCUGCCUAAAGAUGCCCUUCAGCUAGGAUACACUUCUUGAAAUGCAACACAACUAAAUGCAGUCUGCCAUCCCCACUGACCAAGAGGAGACAUUUCUUUGUCAGAAGCAUCCAUUUGGCCUUACGGGGAAAAAGUAUCAUAAGGAUUUACAGUGGAAUUCAUUGUGUUAACAAAACACUUUCAGUGAACAAGGAGAGGAACUCUAAAAGUCACAUAGCUCUAUGAAUUGCUGAGGAAGGCAUAUCAACACCAAGAAACAUAUCAGUCCCAGAAACUGUGGG